CCUGGAUCCAGCAGCCGCGGUAAUACGCGGAGGCUGAGCGUUAUCGGGAAUUACUGGGCGUAAAGCGCACGCAGGCGGUUUGUUAAGUCAGAUGUGAAAUCCCCGGGCUCAACCUGGGAACUGCAUCUGAUACUGGCAAGCUUGAGUCUCGUAGAGGGGGGUAGAAUUCCAGGUGUAGCGGUGAAAUGCGUAGAGAUCUGGAGGAAUACCGGUGGCGAAGGCGGCCCCCUGGACGAAGACUGACGCUCAGGUGCGAAAGCGUGGGGAGCAAACAGGAUUAGAUACCCUGGUAGUCCACGCCGUAAACGAUGUCGACUUGGAGGUUGUGCCCUUGAGGCGUGGCUUCCGGAGCUAACGCGUUAAGUCGACCGCCUGGGGAGCAUGGCCGUUUUAGUU
rnacentral:rRNA from 1 species